CCCGGUAACUGCAUAAAACUUAAACCUUUAUAAC
rnacentral:tRNA from 1 species